AUAAACUUUUUUUUUUUAAGUGCAGAUUUCUGGAACAAUACAGAGAAGAUUAGCAUGGCCCCUGCGGCAGACGACACACAAAUUCAUGAAGCCUUCCCUAUUUAA
ensembl:snRNA U6 U6 spliceosomal RNA